AGAGUGAACGCUGGCGGUAGGCCUAACACAUGCAAGUCGAACGGCAGCACGGUAAGAGCUUGCUCUUAUGGGUGGCGAGUGGCGGACGGGUGAGGAAUACAUCGGAAUCUACCUUUUGGUGGGGGAUAACGUAGGGAAACUUACGCUAAUACCGCAUACGCCCUUCGGGGGAAAGCCGGGGACCAGCAAUGGCCUGGUGCUGAUAGAUGAGCCGAUGUCGGAUUAGCUAGUUGGUGAGGUAAUGGCUCACCGAAGGCGACGAUCCGUAGCUGGUCUGAGAGGAUGAUCAGCCACACUGGAACUGAGACACGGUCCAGACU
rnacentral:rRNA from 1 species